UACGUAGGGACCAAGCGUUGUUCGGAUUUACUGGGCGUAAAGGGCGCGUAGGCGGCGUGACAAGUCACUUGUGAAAUCUCCGGGCUUAACUCGGAACGGCCAAGUGAUACUGUCGUGCUAGAGUGCAGAAGGGGCAAUCGGAAUUCUUGGUGUAGCGGUGAAAUGCGUAGAUAUCAAGAGGAACACCUGAGGUGAAGACGGGUUGCUGGGCUGACACUGACGCUGAGGCGCGAAAGCUAGGGGGAGCAAACGGG
rnacentral:rRNA from 1 species